GGUUAAGCGACUAAGCGUACACGGUGGAUGCCCUGGCAGUCAGAGGCGAUGAAGGACGUGCUAAUCUGCGAAAAGCGUCGGUAAGGUGAUAUGAACCGUUAUAGCCGGCGAUGUCCGAAUGGGGAAACCCAGUGCAAUUCGUUGCACUAUCGUUAACUGAAUACAUAGGUUAACGAGGCGAACCGGGGGAACUGAAACAUCUAAGUACCCCGAGGAAAAGAAAUCAACCGAGAUUCCCCCAGUAGCGGCGAGCGAACGGGGAGCAGCCCAGAGUCUGAAUCAGCUUGUGUGUUAGUGGAACGGUCUGGAAAGUCCGACGGUACAGGGUGAUAGUCCCGUACACCAAAAUGCACAGGCUGUGAACUCGAAGAGUAGGGCGGGACACGUGGUAUCCUGUCUGAAUAUGGGGGGACCAUCCUCCAAGGCUAAAUACUCCUGACUGACCGAUAGUGAACCAGUACCGUGAGGGAAAGGCGAAAAGAACCCCGGCGAGGGGAGUGAAAAAGAACCUGAAACCGUGUACGUACAAGCAGUGGGAGCACCUUCGGGUGUGACUGCGUACCUUUUGUAUAAUGGGUCAGCGACUUAUAUUCUGUAGCAAGGUUAACCGUAUAGGGGAGCCGCAGGGAAACCGAGUCUUAACUGGGCGUUAAGUUGCAGGGUAUAGACCCGAAACCCGGUGAUCUAGCCAUGGGCAGGUUGAAGGUUGGGUAACACUAACUGGAGGACCGAACCGACUAAUGUUGAAAAAUUAGCGGAUGACUUGUGGCUGGGGGUGAAAGGCCAAUCAAACCGGGAGAUAGCUGGUUCUCCCCGAAAGCUAUUUAGGUAGCGCCUCGUGAACUCAUCUUCGGGGGUAGAGCACUGUUUCGGCUAGGGGGUCAUCCCGACUUACCAACCCGAUGCAAACUACGAAUACCGAAGAAUGUUAUCACGGGAGACACACGGCGGGUGCUAACGUCCGUCGUGAAGAGGGAAACAACCCAGACCGCCAGCUAAGGUCCCAAAGUCAUGGUUAAGUGGGAAACGAUGUGGGAAGGCACAGACAGCCAGGAUGUUGGCUUAGAAGCAGCCAUCAUUUAAAGAAAGCGUAAUAGCUCACUGGUCGAGUCGGCCUGCGCGGAAGAUGUAACGGGGCUAAACCAUGCACCGAAGCUGCGGCAGCGACACUAUGUGUUGUUGGGUAGGGGAGCGUUCUGUAAGCCUGCGAAGGUG
rnacentral:rRNA from 1 species